rnacentral:lncRNA from 1 species
GGACUCACCCGAUUAACCUGCUGCAGUUCUGACCCUGCCAAAGAGCUACUUGCUGGUUCAUCAAUGAAGCAACCCGAAGUGAUGAAGAUGUAAGGAACGCAUCCUACGCUAGCACUGUUGCAGUUGGAAAGGUAAGGUCCUCCCCAUGAGCCUGGCAGAUGUCCAUGUUCUCUUAAGAGCUGUGUGAUGC